UAUCGGAUUGAUACUAAGCCAUGCGAGUCAUUGUAGCAAUACAAGGCAGACGGCUCAGUAACGCGUAGUCAAUCUACCCUAUGGACGGGAAUAACCUCGGGAAACUGAGAAUAAUGCCCGAUAGAACAUUAUGCCUGGAAUGGUUUAUGUUUCAAAUGAUUUAUCGCCAUAGGAUGGGACUGCGGCCUAUCAGUUUGUUGGUGAGGUAAUGGCCCACCAAGACUAUUACAGGUACGGGCUCUGAGAGGAGUAGCCCGGAGAUGGGUACUGAGACACGGACCCAGGCCCUAUGGGGCGCAGCAGGCGAGAAAACUUUGCAAUGUGCGAAAGCACGACAAGGUUAAUCCGAGUGGUUUCUGCUAAAGAAACCUUUUGUCAGCCCUAGAAACACUAACGAAUAAGGGGUGGGCAAGUUCUGGUGUCAGCCGCCGCGGUAAAACCAGCACCUCAAGUGGUCAGGAUGAUUAUUGGGCCUAAAGCAUCCGUAGCUCGUUUUGUAAGUUUUCGGUUAAAUCCAUGCGCUUAACGUAUGGGCUGCCGGGAAUACUGCAUAACUAGGAAGUGGGAGAGGUAGGCGGUACUCGGGAGGAAGGGGUAAAAUCCUUUGAUCUCUUGAUGACCACCUGUGGCGAAGGCGGUCUACCAGAACACGUUCGACGGUGAGGGAUGAAAGCUGGGGGAGCAAACCGGAUUAGAUACCCGGGUAGUCCCAGCUGUAAACUAUGCAAACUCAGUGAUGCAUUGGCUUAUGGCCAAUGCAGUGCUGCAGGGAGGCCGUUAAGUUUGCCGCCUGGGAAGUACGUACGCAAGUAUGAAACUUAAAGGAAUUGGCGGGGGAGCACCACAAGGGGUGAAGCCUGCGGUUCAAUUGGAGUCAACGCC
rnacentral:rRNA from 1 species